rnacentral:tRNA from 1 species
CAUUAGCUCAGCUGGAAGAGCAACUGACUCUUAAUCAGUAGGCCGCAGGUUCGAGCCCUGUAUGGC